CCUACGGGGGGCAGCAGUGAGGAAUAUUGGUCAAUGGCCGGAAGGCUGAACCAGCCAUGCCGCGUGAAGGUCAGUGCCCUAUGGGCGUUAAACUUCUUUUGUGCGGGAGCAAUAAUGGUCACGUGUGGCCAGACGAGAGUACCGUACGAAUAAGCAUCGGCUAACUCCGUGCCAGCAGCCGCGGUAAUACGGGGGAUGCAAGCGUUAUCCGGAUUUACUGGGGGUAAAGGGCGUGUAGGCGGGAAAGCAAGUCAGGUGUGAAAACCACGGGCUCAACCUGUGGCCUGCAUUUGAAACUGUUUUUCUUGAGUACUGGAGAGGCAGACGGAAGUCCUAGGGUAGCGGGGAAAUGGGUAGAUAUUAGGAGGAACACCAGUGGCGAAGGCGGUCUGCGGGACAGCAACUGACGCUGAGGCGCGAAAGCGUGGGGAGCAAACAGGAUUAGAUACCCUUGUAGUC
rnacentral:rRNA from 1 species